GACGAACGCUGGCGGCGUGCCUAAUACAUGCAAGUAGGACGCAGUUGCGAACGGGUGAGUAACGCGUAUGUCACUACCUGUUAGAGGGGGAUAACUAUUGGAAACGAUAGCUAAUACCGCAUACUAGUAGAUGGACCUUCGUUGUAUUAUCUAGUAGGUAGGGUAAUGGCCUACCUAGGCAACGAUACAUAGCCGACCUGAGGGGGUGAACGGCCAAACCGGGACUUGGACACGGGCCAGACUCCUACGGGAGGGAGCAGUAGGGAAUCUUCGGCAAUGGGGGGAAACCUGAACGCGCAACGCCGCGUGAGUGAAGAAGGUUUUCGGAUCGGAAAGCUCUGUUGUGAAGGAAGCGGUACUUAACCAGAAAGGGACGGCUAACUACGUGCCAGCAGCCGCGGUAAUAC
rnacentral:rRNA from 1 species